UACUGGCAGCGCUGUGCAGGGAGGACCGAGACAGAGGAGAAAGCCUGAGUAAUGGUUGGGGCAGAAGCCGCAGUGGUGGCGGCCAUCUUAACUUGGGGCAGGACCUCAUGGUUGAGCCCCAUUAUUGCAAUCAGCUGUGCUGCGCUUGACGAUUGGCUGAGGUGGGGCAGUGCACUGAUUGUUGGGGUGGGGCUCGGCACUAUUUAGGCUGUGGGGUUCUGCCAUUUGGGUUGGCUGUGCUGGAUUAACACCCGCAAGAGACGUGCUGGUUUGUUUGUUUUCCCUUGCUUUCCCUACCCCUUUGGAUACCUGGACGGCCUAACGAAGGAACAUUCCACUAGACCACAGCUGAAUCACCCUAAAUUGAAAGCAUAACCAGUUUACUUGGGGCACUCACCAGAAGAUGUCCUGCAAAGCAGAUCAGCAAGAUGAAGGACAGUAUAAGGAAUGCAGCUCCAAACGAAAUCCCGAGGACUGGAGUUCUGGAAAACACGCCCCACAAGCCCUUUAAAACCACUAUUUCAAAUUGAAACAAAUACGCAAAGAUGGAAAAGCUCAUAAAUACAUUAUUUAUUUUAUUAUUGUGGACCCAGAAAACUGUAUUUUGAAAAAAAAAAUGAUACUUCAACAUGGCUCAGGUAUGAUUUACAAUGGGCGUCAUACACAC